GACGAACGCUGGCGGCGUGCUUAACACAUGCAAGUCGAACGAUGAAGCCGGAGCUUGCUCCGGUGGAUUAGUGGCGAACGGGUGAGUAACACGUGAGCAAUCUGCCCUUGACUCUGGGAUAACUGCGGGAAACUGUAGCUAAUACCGGAUACGACACCUUGGGGCAUCCCAGGGUGUGGAAAGAAUUUCGGUCAAGGAUGAGCUCGCGGCCUAUCAGCUAGUUGGUGAGGUAAUGGCUCACCAAGGCGACGACGGGUAGCCGGCCUGAGAGGGUGACCGGCCACACUGGAACUGAGACACGGUCCAGACUCCUACGGGAGGCAGCAGUGGGGAAUAUUGCACAAUGGGCGAAAGCCUGAUGCAGCAACGCCGCGUGAGGGAUGAAGGCCUCGGUUGUAAG
rnacentral:rRNA from 1 species